UACGGGGGGGGUAAGCGUUGUUCGGAAUUACUGGGCGUAAAGGGCUCGUAGGCGGCCAACUAAGUCAGACGUGAAAUCCCUCAGCUUAACUGGGGAACCGCGUCUGAUACUGGAUGGCUUGGAUUCGGGAGAGGAAUGCGGAAUUCCAGGUGUAGCGGUGAAAUGCGUAGAUAUCUGGAGGAACACCGGUGGCGAAGGCGGCAUUCUGGACCGACACUGACGCUGAGGAGCGAAAGCCAGGGGAGCAAACGGG
rnacentral:rRNA from 1 species